GAUGACCGCGGCCCCGUCGUCCCGCCCCCGCUCACCGUGGCGAUGCCCCGCCGCCUCGCCCUCUCUCUCCCCUUCCCCGCCCGCCCCGCUCGCCGUGGCCGGUGACCGCACCACCAAGGACCACCGUGCGCAGACCUUGGCGCAGACCCGUGCCCUCGUGCGACGGCGGCGGCAGAUCCUUCCUCAGUGCCACGCCGCGCCGCGAUGCCGCUGGCUUGGAGGCCCGUGUUCAGCAGCCGCCGCGGCGUCGUCGGCGCCGGAUGCGGUGGCAGGCUCUCAGGGGACCGCUUGGCAGGGGGGGCCGUAGCGGGUUCCGGCCGUCCUCCUCACCAUUAUCACGCAGCGAUCCUCCCCGCCCUAGCGCGGCCUCUGACCUCGACGGUGGCUGCUAAAACCGCAGGUCUCUCUCUCUCUCUCUCACUCUCUCCACUGCUGAUCCCCCUUUUUGCAGCUCAGUAUGCUAGGGAACGGAUUCACAGUCACAAUGGAGAACUGGGUGUGACAUCCAGCCUCAGGAGCUUAUGUGAUGUGUACAUGUGUUGGUGCCUUUACAGAAGAUCAAUUAUGCCUCCCUCUCGGUAAGCACGACAAGCUUUUACUUGUACCCUGAGACAUGGUGUGGAUUCUGUCAAUAUUAGGUUCUCAGCUACAUGGAAGUGAUAGUACAUUUUAGUUCUCCAUGCUUAUUAUCAUUCUUGACAAUUUUAUAUUUGCAGUGUUAGAAAUUUUCAGUUCUCCAUCCAUGGUAACUAUCAAUAUAUAAGUCCAGUUCAUGCUCUUCUAAUUAUACAUGAGGGUAUGAAAAAUCCACACUCUUAUACAUUACUACUACUUUACUUCAUAUAUGUGUCUUGAUAAAUAUGUGAAGGACGUGAGGUGUCGCUGAUGAGACCUUUGUGUUGGCCGGUGAUCAUGGGCAAUGUUAUAUAGUUAGUCUGAUAUGUUAUAUGGUCCAGCUAGGUUCGAAGGAAGGGGAUCUUUGGAUCAGUCCCAUAUUCAUGUUAGUUUUAUAACAAAUCGGUGAAAAUUACCUCUAUGUGUUGUUGCUUCAAGUUGAAGUUUGGUCACUUGUUUUUAGGUCUACCCUGCCGUCAUUUCUAUAAAAAUAAACAAAUUCUUUAUUUAUAGUCGACUGCCAUUUUCCUUUUGGCUAUGUGUUGGUCGCCCCUCAUCCGUGGCUGCUCGCAGGCGCUCCCGCAAUGCCGCGGGUAAAUCUGGUGGUGGCCAUAGCAUUGCCAGCGGCUCUGCCUCUUGCGGUGACUUUGUAGAAUACAGGUCAAGUUUAAAGCUUUCGACCGCGAUGGCUGAAAAACCAAAGUAAAUGCAUCAUAUAUAUUAAAAUAAAUGCAUGCGAAUCAUAGAAAAUAUGGUAAGCACCUAUCCUGCAAUUUAGGACUGGCGUGGUGUUGCUCUUUGUUGAUAGAAAUCAUACUUGCAUAGCUGUUUGAUUGAUUUGAUUAUAAUCAAACUGCACCGUCAUAAUUUUAAUACUGUGAUUAUUCAAAUAAAAAAUGAUCAAAGAAAUACAUGUACCAAAGUCGCAUUUGUUGAGAUCAUGAGUAGUCAUAAAAUUCUUGGUCAUUAUGUUUUUACAUUCCUGGGUUGUGUGCAUUUUCCAGAAAUAAGAAUAGAAGCUCCUCAACCCGCUCCUCAGUGAUUUGGGAUUCCUGGCCGUUGGAUCUGGUUGCUUGAUGGAUCUUGGACCGUCGGAUCGACCCCUGGAACGACCUCGCUCGUUGGAUCAAAAAAAGUUACUGCUGGAAUGAAUAGUUACCGUCUCAUUCGUGCCACCGCGCGUAAUUACGCUGCCCCGCCGAGGGCAUCUUCGUCAUUUCGCAUCCUCCGGUAUAAAACGGGGCCGCUCUAUGGAGAGAACCCUAGCCGUCACUCCCCGUCCCACCCCGCCGUCUCGCUCGCCCCGCCCCGCCCCGCCGUCUCGCUCGCCCCGCCCCGCCUGUCCCGCUCGCCCUCGCCGUGGCCGAUGACCGCGGCCCCAUCGUCCCGCCCCGCUCGCCGUGGCCGGUGACCGCGCCACCAGGGACCCCGGCCACUCGAUGAGGAGGCCUGGACCUUGGCGCAGACCCGUACCCCCGUGCGGUGGCGGCGGCAGAUCCUUCCUCAGUGCCACGCCGCGCCGCGAUGCCGCUGGCUUGGAGGCCCGUGUUCAGGCAGCCGCCGCGGCGUCGUCGGUGCCGGAUGCGGUGGCAGGCUCUCAGGGGACCGCUUGGAAGGGGGACAUCAGCCUCAGGUUGGUAUUCUACCCCUCUGAGAUGUAAUCUUGUGUGCUGUAGUCUAAUGUGAGGAGAGGGAUUAGCAAAUUUUGUUUUAUUCUUGUGGAGGAGAUUCUCAGAUUUAGCUAGGUUUCUUCUUGUGUAAUUCCAGUGCCCCGCCGAGGGGCUGUAGCCGGCCGGUCGGAAGCCAUUCUUUUUAGGGCGAUGAUGAUUAACCAUGGCUGAAAUAAGUGUGCCUUUGAGCAAUCGAGGCACCUGUGGGUAUCAAGUUGGAUCCUCCCUCGUGUCUCUAGAAUCCUUUUUGAUCUUGUGAUACCUGUUGUUCUGCCCUUGGAUGGUCAUUCUUGUUGAGUGAUAACCAGGACAGCUCGACUGUAUAAACAGAUUGAUCUGGUGAUAAGAGAUAACGGGGUAGGUAAUAUGAUUGAGGAAAGGAAAAUCUGAGCCCACUAUGCAUUGGGCCCUGAACCCUUUUUAUUUGAUUUAAAGGUGUUGCUUAUUUAUGCUCCGGUGUUUAUAGUCGUCUUAUGUAUAGAUCUCUUCUUUCUUAUAUUUUUAUUGCAUAUAAGUUGUUCUUGAUUUUUUAUUGUUUGUUGUUGGUCCUUAAUUUAAUCUGGUUAAGAGUAAGUUGGUCCUUGAUUUAAUCUGGUUGAGAGUAAGAGUAAGUUCCAUAUAAGUUGUUCUUGAUCUUUUAUUGUUAUACUUGAUCUAAUCUUUUAUUGUUUGUUUUUGGUUCUUGAUCUUUUAUUGUUUGUUGUUGGUCCCUUUUAUUAUCCUUGUGUGACACGGCUCUAUAACCCGCUGAAAAGGUCUAGACUGGUUCAUUUGCUUGCCUAAUUAGAAAUAACUCUCCAUUUUGAUUGUAUCAAUUUUUUUGGACAAUAUGGCCCUUACUGUUGUUGCAUGGCAGGGUUGUCUUAACAAAAAGUUCUAUCUAUAGUUCAUUCGGUGUUGUUGGAAUAACAUGAUAAUGUCCAGAAGAAGGAUGUCAAAGUAGCGCAACCAACAAUUUGUUUUCAAAGACUUCUAAUUUUAUCUUAAAACUAUUAAGGUUGAGAAAAUAUGAUUCACAAUAUCUAAAAACCUUUUAUGCUAUGGUUACUCUAAUCAGUAAUAAGAAAAUACUUACUAAGUUCUAUAUAUAUGCAUGUUGUGUAAAUAUAUUGCUUAGGCUACUUGUGUGUUGGAGAAUUAUUAGAUCAUUUUCUGCAUUAAUACUGGCAUCCACUCUUUCUUCUUUCUAUAUUCAAAUUGUAGAUAAAAUGCAUAAGUGGCAUGCGCUUUGGUCCUUGUUUUCUCUUUAUGUCGUACCACCUGUGAUGAUAUUUUCUAGCUCUGUAAUUUUCACACAGAAGGAGGGAGAGGGAGGGAGAAAGUACAUUUAGUUGUUUCAAUUUUAAACUACACUUGAGCCCAUGUUCCUAAUAGCCUCAAACUGAUAUAUGUUUUGCCUUACAUGAAUUGAACUAUGCUACUCUAAAAUCAGAAAGCAGAUAGCUGUAGGUUUAGUUUUUAUUUAAAAGUAGUAGCUACCGUAUACGUCAGACUGAUGUAGAUAGUAAAUUGUAACAUCUGCAAACCCUUGAUGUAAACUAGCCAGUGUUUGUUCGUUAGUUUGGCAAAAAUGUGUCGUUGUGGUCAUGAGCCUCCAGUGAACUCCGAAGGACCUCCAUUAGGAGGAUGCCAUCGCCAGACUGGCAUCGAGCUGUGGUGACAAGAUGUGGUAGGAUCCACCGGCCUCCCCUCCGACGAACAGCCCUUCUCCCUUGCCCUCAGCCUCGACACUGCCGCUGACGCCUCCGGCAGCAGGGAGGCAUCAGCACCGAUGCCGACAAGGAAGUGGGUUUAGUGCCAGGCUCCUUGCUACUGUAGCUGAUGGGGAACACUGCUAUGGGCUGCUGCAUGGUGGCGGGGUUUGGGCAUACCGCUGGUGCUCCUUCAGAUUGGUGUGGAUGCCUGUGCUCGGAAUCUGCUGUAUCUACGGGUUCCCAGGCUUGAGUCUCAGUUUGAUCUUACAGUUCUACGGCUCAAAGGUUGAUGACUGACAUGAGGCACUACCCAGUUAAAUCUUCGUCCAAGAUGACAACAAUCCUCUUGGUCUUAAAAAUUUUGUCGAGGCGGCAGGGAUCAAAGAAUAUCAUAUACAUGUCUUCGUCUUCAAAAUUAAAAGGGGAAACCAUCUCUCACUGUGACCGUUGCUGUGAUCUCUCCAAUCUACGCCAAUCUACAACAACAUGUCUCUAAGUGCGGGCGGGUGGGUAUCGGCAAGGAGGGCUGUCAGCACGGUGCUGGAGUUGGUCAUUAGAGGUGCACCUAUGCCAUGUAUGGGUCAAUACUCUAGGAGGUUGGUUUAUCCAGGGUUCUCCUAUGAUGGAAGAGGUUCUAAUCGUCUUCCAGUCAACGAUCAGGGGACGAAUGUACUCACAAAAAAUGAGCCAGGUAGCCAUGAUCCGUUUGCAGCAAAUUUGACUUCUGGCAAUUGUUCUAUGAUAUGUUGGAUCUGCUCUGGAACAUUUUCCUACGGAUAAGAGGGCCACAAUAACAAGUGCAUUCCAAGAUUUUGUGAAGGCCACAGGGAUCAAAGAAUAACAGAUCUGGGUCUUUGCCUUCCAAGAUUAUAAGGGGGAAACCAUCGCUCACUGUCCAUAUGCUUUAAAAGCAAAUCUCAAGUGCAUUGCCUAUACAAAAAUAAUUUUGUGGUCAUCUAUCUCACAAACUGUUCACAUCAAUUUCAUAUGGAAUGGCACUCACGGAGGCAAUUGAACCAACCUAUCUAUUGUAUGCCUAACUAUGACUUCGUAGUUUUAUCGCCUCCAUUGCCAUUGUUGGCUUUUUCUCUCUUAUGUUUCUGCUCAUAUUACUGAACAUAAUGUUAGCUAAUUAGUUUUUCUAUUCGUAUGACCGUAGUGGAUGCUGCCUUGCUUCUGGCACGGGUUAACUUUGAUAGUCUCAUGCCCAUGUUUAACUUGAUGAUGUUACUCUUCUGGCACAUAUUGAAUGUUUCUUCUUA